rnacentral:rRNA from 1 species
AUUGAACGCUAGCGGUAUGCUUUACACAUGCAAGUCGAACGAGUGGCGGACGGGUGAGUAAUAUAUCGGAACGUGCCCAGUAGCGGGGGAUAACUACUCGAAACAGUGGCUAAUACCCCAUACCCUUGGAUCGGCCGAUAUCGGAUUAGCUAGUUGGUGGGGUAAAGGCUCACCAAGGCCAAGAUCCGUAGCUUGUUUGAGAGGACGACCAGCCACACUGUGACUGAGACACGGCCCAGACUCCUACGUGAGGCAGCAGUGGGGAAUAUUGGACAAUGGGGGAAACCCUGAUCCAGCCAUACCGCGUGUAUGAGAAGGCCGUCGGGUUGUAAAGUACUUUUGGCAGAGAAGCGGUAUCUGCAGAAUAAGCACCGGCUAACUACGUGCCAGCAGCCGCGGUAAUAC